GGCUCAGUGGCGGACGGUUUCCGCACCUGCUUUCAAUGGCUGGCCCAAGUGUCCAUAGCAGCAGGGGUUGCUCGUUCGACUCGAGCCUGGGCCA